GUGCUCACUUUGGCAGCACAUAUACUGAAACCGAAUCAAUACAUAGAAGAUUAGCAUGGCCACUGCCCAUGGCUGAAAUGCAAAUUCAUCUCAUAAAAAAAGGUGGC